rnacentral:rRNA from 1 species
GGGUCAGCAGGUUGGUCGUGCCACUGGUAUGCACUGGUCUCGCUGAUUCCUCCCUCUUGUAGAACCGUAAUGCCAUUAAGUUGGUGUUGCGGGGAAACAGGACUGUUACUUUGAAAAAAUUAGAGUGUUUAAAGCAGGCUAACGCUUGAAUACAUUAGCAUGGAAUAAUGAAAUAGGACGAUCGAUCCUAUUUUGUUGGUUUCUAGGGUUGACGUA